AUUGAACGCUGGCGGCAUGCCUUACACAUGCAAGUCGAACGGUAACGGGCCUUCGGGUGCCGACGAGUGGCGGACGGGUGAGUAAUACAUCGGAACGUGCCCGAUCGUGGGGGAUAACGAGGCUAAAGCUUUGCUAAUACCGCAUACGAUCUACGGAUGAAAGCAGGGGACCGCAAGGCCUUGCGCGGGCGGAGCGGCCGAUGGCAGAUUAGGUAGUUGGUGGGAUAAAAGCUUACCAAGCCGACGAUCUGUAGCUGGUCUGAGAGGAUGAUCAGCCACACUGGGACUGAGACACGGCCCAGACUCCUACGGGAGGCAGCAGUGGGGAAUUUUGGACAAUGGGCGCAAGCCUGAUCCAGCCAUGCCGCGUGCAGGAUGAAGGCCUUCGGGUUGUAAACUGCUUUUGUACGGAACGAAAAGCCUUCUUUUAAUACAGGAGGGUCAUGACGGUACCGUAAGAAUAGGCACCGGCUAACUACGUG
rnacentral:rRNA from 1 species